UCAUGGCUGCUCCUGGGCAGUGAUGGCACAGGAGGUGAGGGAAUCACUUCUGAGGCGGCUUCCCUAAAAGAAAGGUCAGCCACAAGGUCACUCCCCAUGGACCAGAGCUCAGCUCUGGUUUCUUUUGCAAUGUCCCUACCCCUCAGGAGCUGACUGCAAGCUCACACAGGUGAUGUUCCUUAAAUCCUUAACUCCCAGAAGGACAGAAUUGCAUCAGAACCUCCACUUUCAGCUCACCUCAGCUCACCUCAUCUCAUCUCUUACCUGGGCCAAGACAAGUGCUGCCCAUCUCACCCUUCAUGGAGAACACUGGACAAGAGGAGUCGAGGCCACCACCCUGUCUGCUGUGAGCUUCCCAGCUUGUCCACCUGGGAAUUGUAAAAUUCCAUGUACAGACCAUGACUUGUGAUAUGACUGUGAGGAGUGAAGAUCAGCCCAUGAACGUGGAUAGAAAAUUCUAGAAGCUCUGCUGAACCAAGGUCACAGCAUGACUUGACCUAGGCUGCCUUUCAGCAUGCUUGAGACCGGGGAGUUGACAACCCAGUCUGCCCAGUGAUGGAAAGUUAGAAACUGGAAAUAUACCUGGAUGCCACCCUGAGUCAGCCCAAAGCGAAGCAUCUUUACAAAACACCUAGAUGUGAACAAACUGCCGUCCUCUGACAAAAAUAUUCCGUCUGAGAAUUUCUGACCAGCU